rnacentral:lncRNA from 10 species
AUACGCCUCGCCGCAGAACAGGGGCCCAGGACUGCUACUUCGGAGCGGGGCGGUCUGCAGCACCCCAAACCCGAAAUCCCUCAUUUAUCAGGCCGCCGGCAGCGGGAGGAGACGCUCCUCGUCCCCUGCCCCACCUAGGAAGCCGCCGGCGCUGGGGUUGCGCGGCCGUGGUGGAAGGAGGGGGAGUCAGUGAGAGAGGGACACCGUGACUGAGCCAGGGGGCACCGACUUCGGCCCCACCACCCCUCGCGGCGAUCGCCGCCGCCGCCGCCGUCGCAGUCGCCGUAGCCGCCCUGGCCGCUUAAGAACCCCGGAACGUGCGUCAGCGCCACCUCACAAUCGCGCCGCCCCCCGCGGCGCUGGUAGGAGUGCUGUCACCGACGUCGUAGAGCCGCCGAGGGUGUUUCUGUAGGGUAAACAUGAAGCCUCGGCUAUAUUCCAGGCAUUUUCACUUGGGUAAGAAGGAACAAAGUCCCUGGAACAAACACGCUCCGCGUGGUUAUUUACACACUCGGAUGCGUGGAACGGGUUCCACGGCGAGCUCCCAUAGUAACCCCGGGCCAGCUCCGCUUCAUAAAAGCCUUUCGUGUGCCAUCAGGGCUGCAGCGUGGGACUCCUCCCCACCACAUUCAUUCCGGCGUCCCCGCCCCUUCCCCCCAGGGAGACUCUAAUUUAUUCCUAAGCUUUAUGAAUUUUCAAGGGAGAAAUAGUUCUUACAUCAGGGAAAAAAGGAGGUUCUGACUCAGCAGCAGACUUGUUGAGACUUGCAAAAUGGAAGGGAGAGAGCUUUCCAUGGUAGAGCUCUUUAGAAGCAUUAGAGGAGGAACUAAUCCUGUGUUUCCUUUUGUAUAGAAACAUUUUACAUAAAGUAUUUGAAGGUCUAGAUAAAGAAUAACAGAGUGAUCCAUACUACAUGAUGAGGUGAACUUUAUGUUUCUGUUUUGUAAUUUUAACUGUUUUGCUUGAUGCUUAGAGAAAUGAAACUAUUAAAUGAAUCCUAGAAUAUAGACUCAAACCCCCAAAGCAAUAGAAGGUGGAUUCAGACUUUACUUGAUUUUGGUUUACAAGUGAACUAAGAUUAAAUAUUUAAUUUUA